AGCAGCCUGUGACUGAUCAAAGUGUUUUCAGUGUGUAUCACGAGGCCGGCUGAGUGCUAAAAAGUCUGCUCACACACAAAUGACAGAAAAAAAAAACAUAUUUUCCCACUUAACUCUGGUGGUAUUCAGCCUGGUAGUUUCAGGGUUUAUUAGUCCAGGUUUUGUCUGACCUGUGACCUCAGAUUUCUGCCUCCAGCUCAACACGGUGGAGGUGAGCGGAAUUUAAAUUACCUUUAGAAAAUGUUCGGCAAGGUGCCUGCACAGAAACAGUCCCUCUGUUACUCCACAUACAGUCCACAGUGUGACUUUAUCCGAUGGAAAGUUCUUCUGAUUUAACUAAACACAUUGUUGAUUGUGGAUGAUCAGGAGCAACCAGGACUUUGUCUCCAAAGACACACUGUGGUACUCCAACAAAUUAAAAAAAAAUUUAGAAAAUCAACAAUCAAAAACAAUGCAGCAGCUGGUUUUUAAAUACUACAAAUCCCACAAUGCAACUCGCUAGUUUCUUUUUGUUGUGUACUGCCAUCUUUCAAACUCCACACCAACGAAGGAGGCUCCUGACGUCUCAGACAUUUGGGUUUGAAUCCUGUCAUCUGCGGUACUCCUGAAUGACAAGUGUGAAGAGGGUCAAGUCAUUUAUGGAGAACUGUGCAGCCUAAAGGAGACAAGUGGUGAUCCUCCCAGCUGUCUCCAAAUAUGACGUUUGAGGUGUGAUGGCGUGCUCGGCUGAUUAAUGCCAGUCCUCUCUGCCUUCGUCUGGAAGGAGAAGGUCAUGAUGAAUGUGCUCGGUUCUCCUGCACGACUUUGACCGGUCCGCCGUCUCCAGCCCCCCCGCCCCCGACGUCUGCAGGUCAUGGGGUCGCGGCAAGUCACCUCUGUGGUUGGUGAUGACUGCCAUGGCUCCUCUCUGACCCAUAUCUGCUGCGAGAUUUGUGUUUUAUUCUUCUCCCUCUCGAUAUAAAUCACAGCAGCUCCCUC